rnacentral:rRNA from 1 species
CUGGCGGCGUGCUUAACACAUGCAAGUCGUACGCUGAAGCCCGCGCUUGCGUGGGUGGAUGAGUGGCGAACGGGUGAGUAACACGUGGGUAAUCUGCCUUGUACUCUGGGAUAAGCCCGGGAAACUGGGUCUAAUACCGGAUAGGACCAUUCCUCGCAUGGGGGGUGGUGGAAAGCUCCGGCGGUAUGAGUUGAGCCCGCGGCCUAUCAGCUUGUUGGUGGGGUGAUGGCCUACCAAGGCGGUGACGGGUAGCCGGCCUGAGAGGGUGACCGGCCACACUGGGACUGAGACACGGCCCAGACUCCUACGGGAGGCAGCAGUGGGGAAUAUUGCACAAUGGGCGCAAGCCUGAUGCAGCGACGCCGCGUGAGGGAUGACGGCCUUCGGGUUGUAAACCUCUUUCGCCAGGGACGAAGGGUGAUACUGACGGUACCUGGAGAAGAAGCACCGGCUAACUACGUGCCAGCAGCCGCGGUAAUACGUAGGGUGCAAGCGUUGUCCGGAAUUAUUGGGCGUAAAGAGCUCGUAGGCGGUGUGUCACGUCUGCCGUGGAAACCUACAGCUUAACUGUGGGCGUGCGGUGGAUACGGGCAUCACUUGAGUUCGGCAGGGGAGACUGGAAUUCCUGGUGUAGCGGUGGAAUGCGCAGAUAUCAGGAGGAACACCGGUGGCGAAGGCGGGUCUCUGGGCCGAUACUGACGCUGAGGAGCGAAAGCGUGGGGAGCGAACAGGAUUAGAUACCCUGGUAGU